rnacentral:rRNA from 1 species
CCGCCCCCCCGGGGAAGGGUCCGCGUACCAUCAGCUAGUUGGCGGGGUAACGGCCCACCAAGGCUCACGGUUAGCUGGUCUGAGAGGACGACCAGCCGCACUGGGACUGAGAUACUGCCCAGACUCCUACGGGAGGCUGCAGUCGAGGAUCAUUCGCAAUGGGGGAAACCCUGACGAUGCGACGCUGCGUGGAGGAUGAAGGCCCUCGGGUUGUAAACUCCUGUCAUGAGGGGAGAGGCGGAGGCGGCGAACAGCCGCCCGAGUUGACGGUACCUCAAGAGGAAGCCACGGCUAACUCUGUGCCAGCAGCCGCGGUAAUACAGAGGUGGCGAGCGUUGUUCGGAUUUACUGGGCGUAAAGGGCGCGUAGGCGGCGCGGUGUGUCGGGUGUGAAAUCCAUGGGCUCAACCCAUGAAGUGCGCCCGAAACUGCCGCGCUCGAGUUCAGGAGGGGGGAUCGGAAUGCAGGGUGUAGCGGUGAAAUGCGUUGAUAUCCUGCAGAACACCGGAGGCGAAGGCGGAUCCCUGGAACGACACUGACGCUGAGGCGCGAAAGCAGGGGGAGCAAACAGGAUUAGAUACCCUGGUAGUCCCUGC